rnacentral:rRNA from 1 species
GAUGAACGCUGGCGGCGUGCUUAACACAUGCAAGUCGAACGAAGCAUUUAGAACGGAUUACUUCGGUUUGAAGUUCUUUAUGACUGAGUGGCGGACGGGUGAGUAACGCGUGGGUAACCUGCCUUGUACUGGGGGAUAGCAGCUGGAAACGGCUGGUAAUACCGCAUAAGCGCACAAUGUUGCAUGACAUGGUGUGAAAAACUCCGGUGGUAUAAGAUGGACCCGCGUCUGAUUAGCUAGUUGGUGAGAUAACAGCCCACCAAGGCGACGAUCGGUAGCGGACCUGGGAGGGUGACCGGCCACAUUGGGACUGAGACACGGCCCAGACGCCUACGGGAGGCAGCAGUGGGGAAUAUUGCACAAUGGAGGAAACUCUGAUGCAGCGACGCCGCGUGAGUGAAGAAGUAAUUCGUUAUGUAAAGCUCUAUCAGCAGGGAAGAUAGUGACGGUACCUGACUAAGAAGCUCCGGCUAAAUACGUGCCAGCCGCCGCGGUAA